rnacentral:lncRNA from 1 species
CAGCAUAUCAUCUCUUACAGAUGAAUCUUGAAAGAUACCAAGAAGGACUCAUCAAAUAUUACCUGGGAGACAUGGCCUUGAAAGCAUAACCUGUGAAUAUAAUCCAUCUGAGACAGCACUUAACUCCAGACAACUCAAUGAUCAACUCAGGAAAAGCAGCAAACAUGAAAAUUCUAUGGCUGAGGCCAUAUUGCACAUCCUUGGUGGACUGUUAAGAAGAGAAAAGAAAAUCUGUGAAUGCAGUGGAGGCUCACCUUGUUGUCUGCCUGGAGCAGGGAAUAGAUUCUCCCUCUGUGUAACUGGCCUACUUUGCUGUUCCCCACACAGUCUUCAGCAGAGGUGUUAUAUGACUUCCAGAAGUUAAGGACCAUGUUUGUCAGACACCAGACCCAGUAUCUUCCAGGAGUGGCAAGCUCUUAGGAAAGAACCAAUAAAUGGAUUAAUGGAGGAACAGCUAGAAAACUACAUUAAGGUAGGUUGACAGUUGGCUAUGUCACAAGGUUAUGUGGAUAGAAAUAGGAAAGACAAAGUC